AAUGCUUAUUUUAUUCCCUCCAUUUUCAGAUAAAUUUCAUAAAGUCAGCCCAGAAACAACAUUUUAAUAAAACUUUUCAAUAUCUCUACAAUUGCUUAAACCUACUACACUGCUACAAUCGCUACAGCUUGUGGAGACGCCGUGGAGAUCGAUGACCUGGUACUGAGCUCUGCCGGUGGUACUGUGGAGAUCGACGCCAUGGAGUGUUCUUCCAAUUGGAGUUUCUGUUGCUCAUUAUCAGUAAGAUAUUCGACGAACAUAUCUAUGAUUUGUAUCCUUGAAUCGGGCCGACUGUAGUGAGCUGUGGCGUAGUGAGCUUCAGACCGACUGUAGAAUUGCAAUUUGUAUUGGAAAGUGAGAUCGAAUUUCAGCUCUCAAUUUGUGUUGGAAAGUCAGACCGAAUUUGCCCUUCAAUUUCUCUCAAAUUUGCACUUCAAUUGCUUCAGUUUGUGGAUUUUAAGACGGAGCAACUGAUGGAACAAAUCAAACCACCAGCAAGGCUGCUAUGUAUUCCAACAGACUCCAUAUAUGUUGCAUCAGACUCUAUAUCUGACGCAACAGACUCCACAUCUGGCGCAAACUAUCCGGGAUUUAUGUGUUGUGUGUGGUGUUACUUAAAUAAAACUGGUGACUUUAUUAAUAUGUAAAUUAAAAAAAUGGAUCUAAAUACAACAUUUUAUCUUUUGUUGUAUUUUCGAAAGAAACAGAUUGGUAAUCUGUUGCAAAAUAUAUUCCACCUGUCAGAUAACUUACAACAUAUGGACAAUCUGUUGCAACAGAUGUAUUUAUCAGUUUGCUUUUCCAUCAACUGUGGCGUCUGUUGUAACUUGCUAAUCAUCUGUUUAUUCAAUUUCAUCGAGAACAAUAGAUUUUUCUAAACACAUCUUGGCCAAACUCAAUUUUUGAUCUUGGACUACUGCUCCUUUUUUCUUUGCAUCCUUCAA